GACGAACGCUGGCGGCGUGCUUAACACAUGCAAGUCGAACGGAAAGGCCCUGCUUUUGUGGGGUGCUCGAGUGGCGAACGGGUGAGUAACACGUGAGUAACCUGCCCUUGACUUUGGGAUAACUUCAGGAAACUGGGGCUAAUACCGGAUAGGAGCUCCUGCUGCAUGGUGGGGGUUGGAAAGUUUCGGCGGUUGGGGAUGGACUCGCGGCUUAUCAGCUUGUUGGUGGGGUAGUGGCUUACCAAGGCUUUGACGGGUAGCCGGCCUGAGAGGGUGACCGGCCACAUUGGGACUGAGAUACGGCCCAGACUCCUACGGGAGGCAGCAGUGGGGAAUAUUGCACAAUGGGCGGAAGCCUGAUGCAGCAACGCCGCGUGCGGGAUGACGGCCUUCGGGUUGUAAACCGCUUUCGCCUGUGACGAAGCGUGAGUGACGGUAAUGGGUAAAGAAGCACCGGCUAACUACGUGCCAGCAGCCGCGGUGAUACGUAGGGUGCGAGCGUUGUCCGGAUUUAUCGGGCGUAAAGGGCUCGUAGGUGGUUGAUCGCGUCGGAAGUGUAAUCUUGGGGCUUAACCCUGAGCGUGCUUUCGAUACGGGUUGACUUGAGGAAGGUAGGGGAGAAUGGAACUCCUGGUGGAGCGGUGGAAUGCGCAGAUAUCAGGAGGAACACCAGUGGCGAAGGCGGUUCUCUGGGCCUUUCCUGACGCUGAGGAGCGAAAGCGUGGGGAGCGAACAGGCUUAGAUACCCUGGUAGUCCACGCUGUAAACGGUGGGUACUAGGUGUGGGGUCCAUUCCACGGGUUCCGUGCCGUAGCUAACGCUUUAAGUACCCCGCCUGGGGAGUACGGCCGCAAGGCUAAAACUCAAAGGAAUUGACGGGGCCCCGCACAAGCGGCGGAGCAUGCGGAUUAAUUCGAUGCAACGCGUAGAACCUUACCUGGGUUUGACAUGGAUCGGGAGCGCUCAGAGAUGGGUGUGCCUCUUUUGGGGUCGGUUCACAGGUGGUGCAUGGCUGUCGUCAGCUCGUGUCGUGAGAUGUUGGGUUAAGUCCCGCAACGAGCGCAACCCUUGUUCACUGUUGCCAGCACGUUAUGGUGGGGACUCAGUGGAGACCGCCGGGGUCAACUCGGAGGAAGGUGGGGAUGACGUCAAGUCAUCAUGCCCCUUAUGUCCAGGGCUUCACGCAUGCUACAAUGGCUGGUACAGAGAGUGGCGAGCCUGUGAGGGUGAGCGAAUCUCGGAAAGCCGGUCUCAGUUCGGAUUGGGGUCUGCAACUCGACCUCAUGAAGUCGGAGUCGCUAGUAAUCGCAGAUCAGCAACGCUGCGGUGAAUACGUUCCCGGG
rnacentral:rRNA from 1 species